AGCAGCCGCGGUAAUUCCAGCUCCAAUAGCGUAUAUUAAAGUUGUUGCAGUUAAAAGCUCGUAGUUGAAUUUCGGGAUCAAUACGUCGGUCGUGCUUUCGGGUACGUACUGGCGUCACUGGUUUCUCCUUUCUGACGAACCAUGAUGUCAUUAAUUUGGUGUUAUGGGGAGUUAGGACUGUUACUUUGAAAAAAUUAGAGUGUUUAAAGCAGGCAUUAGCUUGAAUACAUUAGCAUGGAAUAAUGAAAUAGGACGUUCGAUCCUAUUUUGUUGGUUUCUAGGAUCAACGUAAUGAUUAAUAGGGAUAGUUGGGGGCAUUAGUAUUCGAUUGUCAGAGGUGAAAUUCUUGGAUUUAUUGAAGACUAACUACUGCGAAAGCAUUUGCCAAGGAUGUUUUCAUUAACCAAGAACGAAAGUUAGGGGAUCGAAGACGAUCAGAUACCGUCGUAGUCUUAACCAUAAACUAUGCCGACUAGGGAUCGGAUGAUGUUAAUUUUUUUAAUGACUCAUUCGGCGCCUU
rnacentral:misc_RNA from 1 species